GGUGGGUUGGCGUAAUGGCAACGCGUCAGUUUCCGGUUCCACACAGCUGAAGAUUCCGGGUUCGAGUCCCGGGCCUGUCG